rnacentral:rRNA from 1 species
UACGUAGGGUGCGAGCGUUAAUCGGAAUUACUGGGCGUAAAGCGUGCGUAGGCGGUUCUCCAAGUCCGUUGUGAAAGCCCCGGGCUCAACCUGGGAAUGGCGAUGGUGACUGCAAGGCUAGAGUUUGGCAGAGGGGGGUAGAAUUCCACGUGUAGCAGUGAAAUGCGUAGAUAUGUGGAGGAACACCGAUGGCGAAGGCAGCCCCCUGGGUCAAAACUGACGCUCAUGCACGAAAGCGUGGGGAGCAAACAGG